GGGGUUGUGGCUCAGUGGUGGAACACUUGCCUCGUAUGCAUGAGGCACUGGGUUCGACCCUCAGCCCCA
rnacentral:tRNA from 1 species